rnacentral:rRNA from 1 species
GAUGAACGCUGGCGGCGUGCCUAAUACAUGCAAGUCGAGCGAACGGACGAUAAUCUUGCUUCUCUGAUGUUAGCGGCGGACGUGUGAGUAACACGUGGAUACCCUACCUAUAAGACUGGGAUCACUUCGGGAAACCGUCGCUAAUCCCGGAUAAUCUUUUGCACCGCAUGGUUCAAUAGUGAAAGACGGUCUUGCUGUCACUUAUAGCUGGAUCCGCGCUGCAUUAGCUAGUUGGUAAGGUAACGGCUUACCAAGGCAACGAUGCAUAGCCGACCUGAGAGGGUGGUAGGCCACAUGGGAGCUGAGACACGGUCCAGACGCCUAAGGGAGGCAGCAGUAGGGAAUGUUACGCAAUGGGCGAAAGCAUGACGGAGCAACGCCGCGUGAGUGAUGAAGGUCUUGGGAGCGUAAAACUCUGUUAUUAGGGAAGAACAUAUGUGUAAGUAACUGUGCACAGCGUGACGGUACCUAAUCAGAAAGCCACGGCUAACUACGUG